UGAGGAAUAUUGGUCAAUGGACGAGAGUCUGAACCAGCCAAGUAGCGUGCAGGAUGACGGCCCUAUGGGUUGUAAACUGCUUUUGUUUGGGAAUAAUCGACAUUACGUGUAAUGUUUUGCAUGUACCAUUCGAAUAAGGACCGGCUAAUUCCGUGCCAGCAGCCGCGGUAAUACGGAAGGUCCAGGCGUUAUCCGGAUUUAUUGGGUUUAAAGGGAGUGUAGGCGGUUGGUUAAGCGUGUUGUGAAAUGUAGAUGCUCAACAUCUGACUUGCAGCGCGAACUGGCUGACUUGAGUACACACAACGUAGGCGGAAUUCAUGGUGUAGCGGUGAAAUUCUUAGAUAUCAUGAAGAACUCCGAUUGCGAAGGCAGCUUACGGGAGUGUUACUGACGCUUAAGCUCGAAGGUGCGGGUAUCGAACAGG
rnacentral:rRNA from 1 species